rnacentral:lncRNA from 1 species
CCAGACCAGUUUACGAGAGUUUCCGCACUUCAAAAGGUUUGAUCGAUUAUGAAUGGCUUUAACGCUGACAAACCUUACUUCAGAUUUUCUCCCUCCCGGCUCGUGGUCUAGUCGAAGGACAAGAGGCAGCCAGUGGAUGAGGUAAAUCUAAAUGUUCGAAUUCCAAAGUAUUCAGCUUCUCUCAGGAUAUGUAGUGCUAGCCAAUCGCUGCGGUCUGUUUUCGAGCCUGCUGAUUCGUUUCGUAGACGUUUUGAAUGGCGACGUGGUUAGAGCUAAUCCCUGGAGAAAAAGCUGUGGCAUUGAUAUUCGUUUCGUUUUCCAGGGUGGUGACGAACCAAGCGCUGAAGUCGAUCCAAUCAAUUAGGUAAGCGUUACGAUAAUUACGUGAUAUGCAAGCGUGUAUCUGGCGACACCGACAUUGCAGGUCAAUCUGGUGGACUUCUUGAAGAGAUUCUCAGAAGAAGCUCCGCUUGCGUUCUUCAAGGUGAGACAUGUGUAAAUCAAGGUGUUGUUACCAAUCUGCUCUUCUCCACAGGAGCUGUCUGAUCGGGAAAACCGUGCGGUGUAAUGAGAAGUUGCCGAUAAAUUUUGUAGGAAAGAGACUAUGUGGAACGUGGAACCAAAUCCACUAAAAAAUCGAAGACCCUUUCAAUAAAUAUACUCAAGUCGGAGAAAA